CUGUAAUAAGGAGAAUUGUGAAUUAAUGUCAAUUACUGAGAAGAUAAGAAAAUCCCACUUAAACAUAAAUCAUAGUUAAAUGAAAUUUUAAUCCAUUUCCCACUUAUUAUUUGUAUCUUGUUUCUCAACAAAAUUUCAUUUUGAAAAAUGCAACAAACGCACAAGCUUGUUUGAAGGGUGAUAGGGUCAAUAAUCACACAUCCACUUCAAGAUAAAACUCAGGUGGCUUGCUACUCCAGACAAGAAGAAAUGGUUUAAGGUUUAACUUUUAGCCAUUUUAAAGCUAACUGAAGAAACAAAUGCAUGUGUUUCUCCUGGUCUCAAAACAAAAUGGGAUAGGGAUAUGGACCAAACUGACGAGAGAUUGAAUCCCAAUACUAGUUAGCCAUUUAAAGCUAACUGAACAAAACAAAUGUAUGAUUCCCAUAAAAGAGACAUUGAUGCGAGCAACCAUCUGAUUGAUCAGAAUUUGCAGAAGGUAGAAAAGGCAACAGUAGAGCAGACUGGUAAAUUUCCAUUUUCAUCGUUGAAAACAGGCUUAACUAUUAAUAUUUCAAGAUCUUGGUCCAACUUAAACACACAACACAAGUUGUAACAUAAAAACUCCAACUACUUGAUGGAGUUGCUCCCAUAGCCUCAACCAGGAACCUUCUAAGAUGUGCAAGAUCUCAGUCAUCCUGAGGUUUGGGUCAAUGUCUUGCCCAACCAUGCUUUGGGCUUAAUUUUGAAAAUUGAGUAUUAAAGUUCCAGUUUACCAUGACAAACCAACCAGAUGGUCUGGACCAACUUGAAUGCUUUUGACACUGAAUGAACUACAAUUCUACAACAAACCAUAAUGCAAACACAAUUCAGUCAAAAGAAGUAACAUUUAGGCUCACUGAAAUACGAAAAUGAUUCUAUAUGCCAUGACAUUAGGGUGAUAUAGCAGUCUCCAAGGAGCAACCAAGACUCCAAGAUGCAUUGAACAAAAUGAGAGAAGACAAGAUACUUCUCCAAAGCUUAUCAUAUUGACAGCAUACCUAUGAUUAAAAUUAUAUUCUGUAUUGAUUUACUUUUUGUCCCUUUUUAUAUUUAGGGAUUCACAUAUCUUACCUAGCAAUAUCAGAUCUAGUACCUCGUAAAAUGAACUAACCUCAGCCCAUCAUGAAACAUAAUUUAUUACCUGAGGCAAAGAUGUAAUUACACUCCAUAACAUUGCAUUUUGUGGAGAAACACCUCUUGAUGCAAGAACCAUACUCACAGCUAAUCCCUCUGGUAUGUU
rnacentral:misc_RNA from 1 species